CCUACGGGAGGCAGCAGUGGGGAAUAUUGCACAAUGGGCGCAAGCCUGAUGCAGCCAUGCCGCGUGUGUGAAGAAGGCCUUCGGGUUGUAAAGCCCUUUCAGCGGGGAGGAAGGCGCCAAGGUAAUAACCUUGGCGAUUGACGUUACCCGCAGAAGAAGCACCGGCUAACUCCGUGCCAGCAGCCGCGGUAAU
rnacentral:rRNA from 1 species